AUCCAGCUGACGAGUUCCAAAUAGGACGAAACACGCGUCCUGGAU
rfam:Schistosoma haematobium scaffold120_4, whole genome shotgun sequence.